GAAUUUUGGACAAUGGGCGCAAGCCUGAUCCAGCCAUUCCGCGUGCAGGAUGAAGGCCCUCGGGUUGUAAACUGCUUUUGUACGGAACGAAACGGCCUGGGUUAAUACCUCGGGCUAAUGACGGUACCGUAAGAAUAAGCACCGGCUCACUCAGUGCCAGCAGCCGCGGUAAUACGUAGGGUGCGAGCGUUAAUCGGAAUUACUGGGCGUAAAGCGUGCGCAGGCGGUGAUGUAAGACAGGUGUGAAAUCCCCGGGCUUAACCUGGGAACUGCAUUUGUGACUGCAUCGCUGGAGUGCGGCAGAGGGGGAUGGAAUUCCGCGUGUAGCAGUGAAAUGCGUAGAUAUGCGGAGGAACACCGAUGGCGAAGGCAAUCCCCUGGGCCUGCACUGACGCUCAUGCACGAAAGCGUGGGGAGCAAACAGG
rnacentral:rRNA from 1 species